ACUGACCUGCACUUGGUCCAGCAGCACCCCCGCCAUCACCAUGCCGAGUCCAGCCAGCACACACGAAGGCAUCACCUGGAGGCACAUGAUCCUGGAGGAUUCUGUCCAUGAUAGGAUUGGGAAUUCCUUCUCCGGCAUGAUGUUAGUUGGAUGUUUCAUUGACCAAAGUGUGCCAACUUCCUGUCCUGCCAACUGAAAGACCAACGCUAUCUGCUGAUCGGUGUCCCAUGUGUUCAGUGACUGCCUGCCACUACUGUCUCUUUACGGCUAUGUACUCUUUAUUUAUUACUAGCAGUAGUAAAAUACAGAAAUUCAGAUCGGAGUCUGUGCUCGUCGUUACCAAAUUGCGAGUGCGGCGCCAUGGACUUUAACCUGAAUGACAUUUGCACACCGAUAUACAGGAUUGUAUGGACUACAGCUGCUAUUGACGCCCUUAGAUUGUAAGUAAAGGUCAUCAAAACAUCAAUGAUUACCUUACAUUACAUUACCUUAUAUUAUAUUACCUUACAUGACAUUACAUUACCUUAACACUUCAUGAAGUCAUGACAUCAGCCAUGGCAUUUAUGACAUGAUAGAGUGAAAAAAGUUCUCCUCCCAGUCCGUGUGAAAGUGGUUAGUUUUGGCUUCUUGGUAGAAGAAAUAAAUUUGAGGCUAACUGGUUAGCUCGCUAGUUACUUACUGUAGUAUAGGAGUUGUACCUUAUAUUACAUUACCUUACAUGACAUUACAUUACCUUAACACGUCAUGAAGUCAUGACAUCAGCCAUUGCAUUUAUGACAUGAUAGAGUGAAAGUUUGUUAUAGGUGUGUUGUUUCAUUUGAAAUAUAUUUUUUAGGCUAACCGGUUAGCUCGCUAGUUACUUCCUGUAGCAUAGGAGUUGAACCUUAUAUUACAUUACCUUACAUGACAUUACAUUACCUUAACACGUCAUGAAGUCAUGACAUCAGCCAUGGCAUUUAUGACAUGAUAGAGUGAAAAAAGUUCUCCUCCCAGUCAGUGUGAAAGUGGUUAGUUUUGGCUUCUUGGUAGAAGAAAUAAAUUUGAGGCUAACUGGUUAGCUCGCUAGUUACUUCCUGUAGUAUAGGAGUUGUAAAACAAAGAAUAACAAGACUGUGAAGGUGGCUAUGGGUGUGUUAUUUUAUGUCAAAUAUAUGAGGCUAACCGGUUAGCUUGCUAGUUACUUCCUGUAGCAUAGGAGCUGUAAAACAAAGAAUAACAAGAGUGUAAAGUUGGUUAUAGGUGUGUUGUUUCAUUUCAAAUAUAUUUUUUAGGCUAACCGGUUAGCUCGCUAGUUACUUCCUGUAGCAUAGGAGUUGUACCUUAUAUUACAUUACCUUACAUGACGUUACAUUACCUUAACACGUCAUGAAGUCAUGACAUCAGCCAUUGCAUUUAUGACAUGAUAGAGUGAAAAAAGUUCCCCUCCCAGUCCGUGUGAAAGUGGUUAGUUUUGGCUUCUUGGUAGAAGAAAUAAAUUUGAGGCUAACUGGUUAGCUCGCUAGUUACUUCCUGUAGUAUAGGAGUUGUAAAACAAAGAAUAACAAGACCGUGAAGGUGGCUAUGGGUGUGUUAUUUUAUGUCAAAUAUAUUUGAGGCUAACCGGUUAGCUUGCUAGUUACUUCCUGUAGCAGAGGAGCUGUAAAACAAAGAAUAGCAUGAGUGUAAAGUUGGUUAUAGGUGUGUUAUUUCAUUUCAAAUAUAUUUUUUAGGCUAACCGGUUAGCUUGCUAGUUACUUCCUGUAGCAUAGGAGUUGUACCUUAUAUUACACUACCUUACAUGACAUUACAUUACCUUAACACUUCAUGAAGUCAUGACAUCAGCCAUUGCAUUUAUGACAUGAUAGAGUGAAAAAAGUUCUCCUCCCAGUCAGUGUGAAAGUGGUUAGUUCUGGCUUCUUGGUAGAAGAAAGAAAUUUGAGGCUAACUGGUUAGCUCGCUAGUUACUUACUGUAGUAUAGGAGUUGUAAAACAAAGAAUAACAAGACUGUGAAGGUGGCUAUGGGUGUGUUAUUUCAUGUUAAAUAUAUUUGAGGCUAACCGGUUAGCUUGCUAGUUACUUCCUGUAGCAGAGGAGCUGUAAAACAAAGAAUAGCAUGAGUGUAAAGUUGGUUAUAGGUGUGUUAUUUCAUUUCAAAUAUAUUUUUUAGGCUAACCGGUUAGCUCGCUAGUUACUUCCUGUAGCAUAGGAGUUGUACCUUAUAUUACAUUACCUUACAUGACAUUACAUUACCUUAACACGUCAUGAAGUCAUGACAUCAGCCAUGGCAUUUAUGACAGAGUGAAAAAAGUUCUCCUCCCAGUCAGUGUGAAAGUGGUUAGUUUUGGCUUCUUGGUAGAAGAAAUAAAUUUGAGGCUAACUGGUUAGCUCGCUAGUUACUUCCUGUCGUAUAAGUGCAAGUACAGAACUACUGUUUUUCCAUGUUUCAAAUCAUGCCAAAAUACUUCCAGAGUGAAAUGUUAUGAAAUCACUGCAGGUAUUAUUAGAGAAGGAAGGGACAGCCCACCACUAUCUGCUAUAAAUAUUCUCUCCGCACCCCCCACCUCCAGUUAAGAUCUCAGGUUAUAUGUCAAGGGCUGAGCUGAAAGGAGCUUAAAGCGAUGCAUUACUGUUGUUGACCAACACUUGCCUGAUUGUUUCCUGUUGAGAAUGUUGGUUUUCUUUGGAGUUUCUGUGUUGGAUUCCGGCUUGAACGGUGGAGUUCGUGGCAAAAACUGCAAGAAGAAAACAUCUGAGCAACAGUUUUCCCAGGAAAAUUAACGUGACAACAUGGACAUGGCGUGGAGACGCGGCAACACAGAUGCGAUGACCGGGAGCCAGGUCCAGUCCAUCAGCCGACCCACCACCGUUCACCUUCGAUACAUUUACGAUCCCAAACCCCAACCUCCUAAAGCGUCGGUCCCAAUCCGCCCUCCAGGCCCGAGACCUCCCUCGAUAAAGACGGACUCAAAUCUCAGCUCGUCCAGCCAUCCUCCGACCAAACCCAUCGUGAGGAAACGAGCUCAGUCUCUUUCUACGCCUGCAGAGAUGAGGAGACAACGCCGAAGCCCGCAGGUUCGCUUUGUGGACUCGCUGGGCCUCGAUUUAGAGGAAGUCAAGGUGUUCCGAGUCAAAGAGCGACCCCUCGUACCGCAACAUGUGAUGUUCAGACUCCUCAUGAGCUCCGAGAUGGCCUUCGGGAAGUCUUUGGAACUGUCCCUGCCUCACUUUAAACCCUGUUUCCCUGAGAACAUGGCAGCUCAACCGGACUUCCUGAAGCGUGUGCGUGCACAAUGCGUGUGUCUGGGUCAGGUCUUGUGCACCGAUUUGGGAAUAACCGGCACCAUACAAGUACUUAAUUUAGAUUAUGAGAAAAAAGUCGUAGUGCACUACUCUUUUACCAACUGGAGAACCAGCACGGAAACAACAGCAUCCUGGGUGUCUGGUGGGGCCCCCGGGGAAUACAACGUUCCAGGGACGGAUAUCUUCCGAUUUCGUCUUCCGGUGCCACCUUUCAUUUUGCAGCCGGGAGCGGUGCUGGAGUUUGCCAUCUGCUAUCAUGUCCGAGGCUCACAUCACUGGGACAACAACUACGGGCGCAAUUACAAACUGACUUGCCAUUGCUACAAGGUGACUGUUCCAAGGGAAUGUGAGGACAGUAUGCUGCAUUUCACCUGAGUGGCCGCAAGGGGGCGGUAUGACAUUUGCACACGCCUAAGCUGCUAUUGACACCCUUGCACUAUAGUUUAGGUUGGAAGUAAAGGAUGCUUUUCAUAGAGGGUUUUUAUGAUUCCUUUUUUCAUAUCAAAUAUCUAGUAGCAGGUGUGUUAUUAUUGGAAGUAUGGGCCCUGGUAAUGACACAAAACAUCAACAAUUACCUUACAUUACAUUACCUUAUAUUAUAUUACCUUACAUGACAUUACAUUACCUUAACACUUCAUGAGGUCAUGACAUCAGCCAUGGCAUUUAUGACAUGAUAGAGUGAAAAAAGUUCUCACAGUUCGUGUGAAAGUGUAUGCCCAGGGCACAGAAGAGGGAGUCAGCUGCAUAUGCGCUUCAGAGGACGGCGGAUGCAGCUGGAGGGGCCCAGCAGAGGAGGGAAAACCUGC